CAUGCCGAGCGCUCUGUUCCUGCCACCUGAAACUCUCCGUGCAAACCAUUUUGGGAACCGGAGGGACCCCCUUCCCCGGCCCCAGCAGGCGGGGGGGACGCCGGGGGCACUCUGGAGAAGAAGCAGAGACCCUGCCUCCAGGCCACAGCAUCCCUGCCAGUGUUUUUUGCCUCUCUUGCAUAACCUUUGACCCUCCCUGGAAUGAAGGAGCUGCAAAGCUGGGAUCAUCUGCGUUAAUCUGGUCUCAUUGAGGCAGGAUCAGUGGAACCACCUCGCAGAUUCACUGUAUUAUGGAGCAGAUUGAGGGACUUAGAGAGCAAAUUUAAUAAAUAUCAUUUCGAUAUUACUUGGUGGGGGGGGGGAAAAAAUCCUCUGAGCAGCUGAUGUCGGAGGCACCCUGUGCAGCUCAUCGCUAGCUACCACUUGCAGAUGGCGUCUUGUGCCCAGCUGCCCCCGGAGCAAUGCAGCAGAGGGAAAUCCUGUUGAUCGUGCCCGGGGAAAGCUCCCUUUGCAGAUGACCCAGGGGAGAAAGCGGCGGCCGUAGAAAUCUCCCUUUCUUGAGGCCAGUUUGGUUCACUGUACUCUAGGGCUGGGAGAGCCACCACCACCCCUCCAGCUUUUGCACGGAGGUGGCAACAUGGCCCCGAUCCUGCACCCUGUUUGAACUCUCCAAAGACAGCCUACCAAACUCGGCUCCAGCCUCUGCAAGACCUGGAGGGGAAGGUAUGGUGCUCAUCGCCUGCUUUGUCUCGGUCCCCGGCGGGACCCCCUCCCUGCCUGCUGGAAAAACACUUGGUUUCAAAUAAAUGUUUGACCUCCUGCUAA